rnacentral:rRNA from 1 species
GACGAACGCUGGCGGCGUGCUUAACACAUGCAAGUCGAACGAUGAAGCCUAGCUUGCUAGGUGGAUUAGUGGCGAACGGGUGAGUAAUACGUGAGUAACCUACCUUUAACUCUUUGAUAAGCCUGGGAAACUGGGUCUAAUACCGGAUACGACCAAUCUCCGCAUGGGGUGUUGGUGGAAAGCGUUAUGUAGUGGUUAUAGAUGGGCUCACGGCCUAUCAGCUUGUUUGUGAGGUAACGGCUCACCAAGGCGACGACGGGUAGCCGGCCUGAGAGGGUGACCGGCCACACUGGGACUGAGACACGGCCCAGACUCCUACGGGAGGCAGCAGUGGGGAAUAUUGCACAAUGGGCGCAAGCCUGAUGCAGCGACGCCGCGUGAGGGAUGACGGCCUUCGGGUUGUAAACCUCUGUUAGCAGGGAAGAAGAGAAAUUGACGGUACCUGAAGAGAAAGCGCCGGCUAACUACGUG